UACGGGGGGAGCGAACGUUGUUCGGAAUCACUGGGCGUAAAGGGCGUGUAGGCGGCUGAAUAAGUGGGAUGUUAAAUCCCCCGGCUCAACCGGGGGACCUGCAUCUCAUACUGUUCAGCUCGAGCACAUCAGAGGAGACUGGAAUUCCCGGUGUAGCGGUGAAAUGCGUAGAUAUCAGGAGGAACACCUGUGGUGUAGACAGCUUACUGGACCAUCACUGACGCUGAGACACGAAAGCGUGGGUAGCAAACAGG
rnacentral:rRNA from 1 species